AUGAAUUACGCAGCGCACUUUUCGCACCAGUUCUUGAAAACCAGUGGGAAAAGAAAUGGGCAGGAUUGGGGAAAAUAUUUUUCCCACCGGUUCCUAAUAAACCGGUGCGAAAUCAUAUUUUUCGCACCGGUUCAAACCAGUGCGAAUUACGAAAUAUAAAAAAAAAAACCGGGCUGCUUUUCUUCUUCUUUCUUUCUUUCUUUCUUUCCAUGUUCUGUACUUUUAAUUUCCCUCUCGUUUUCGCCUUCGUUCUCUAUCCAGAAUCCCGAAUUGCCCUAGCUUUCUUACUCCAUUGAAGCAUCACCUCCGCCUUCUCACUCCAUUGAAGCAGCACCUCCGCCUCCAUUGAAUCGUGCUCUAUAUUCUCCAUUGAAGCCGAAUCUGAGCUUUCUCACCUCCAUUGAAGCUGCUCCUGCAGGAACUCUAAGGGUCUUAUUGUUCUAAUGAAGACUACUGAUAAGGGCCUGAUAAUGAAAGUGAUUACCCAGAUGGGUCUUUUUCCUCUGAUCCCGAUGAAGGUCAUAAAGGUUCAUCACAAGAAAUGAAGAGAAGCCUCAAUUGUCAAAUUUAGCUUUCUACAAUAUCUGUACUACCAAAAUGCAAGAAAGAGAACUUUUAAAGUUCAUCAACCAACAAAAUGGAAUCAGAUAUGGUCAAAAUCAGAACAUGAGACAAGAGAUGUAUCUCUAAGGAUCAAAAAUCUGUGGCUGCAUCUAUAACAAAAAAAGACUUCAGAGUGAAAGCUGGCAAAUAAAGGGAGCGUUCAUUUGCAGUUCACACUCAGAUAAUUGAUUACCACUCAUUCAUACUCACUCGUCUAGAAAUAUGUUAAUUAGCGGUUAAUAAGAGUCUACAAGAAAGAACAAAUUGUACUCUUCAAAUUGUACUACAGUAAGAGACUAUAAUAGAUAAUUUAAA